CACACACCUUAAUACACACAAACCAGUAUAUUCUCUACUGAGAGACACACCCACACUAACCCCUCUGUUGUCUCUAGUUGAAUGGUGGAGGGGACAGGACCCACACUAACCCCUCUGUUGUCUCUAGUUGAAUGGUGGAGGGGACAGGACCCACACUAACCCCUCUGUUGUCUCUAGUUGAAUGGUGGAGGGGACAGGACCCACACUAACCCCUCUGUUGUCUCUAGUUGAAUGGUGGAGGGGACAGGACCCACACUAACCCCUCUGUUGUCUCUCUAGUUGAAUGGUGGAGGUGACAGGACCCACACUAACCCCUCUGUUGUCUCUCUAGUUGAAUGGUGGAGGGGACAGGACCCACACUAACCCCUCUGUUGUCUCUAGUUGAAUGGUGGAGGGGACAGGACCCACACUAACCCCUCUGUUGUCUCUAGUUGAAUGGUGGAGGUGACAGGACCCACACUAACCCCUCUGUUGUCUCUCUAGUUGAAUGGUGGAGGGGACAGGACCCACACUAACCCCUCUGUUGUCUCUAGUUGAAUGGUGGAGGGGACAGGACCCACACUAACCCCUCUGUUGUCUCUAGUUGAAUGGUGGAGGUGACAGGACCCACACUAACCCCUCUGUUGUCUCUAGUUGAAUGGUGGAGGGGACAGGACCCACACUAACCCCUCUGUUGUCUCUCUAGUUGAAUGGUGGAGGUGACAGGACCCACACUAACCCCUCUGUUGUCUCUCUAGUUGAAUGGUGGAGGGGACAGGACCCACACUAACCCCUCUGUUGUCUCUAGUUGAAUGGUGGAGGGGACAGGACCCACACUAACCCCUCUGUUGUCUCUAGUUGAAUGGUGGAGGGGACAGGACCCACACUAACCCCUCUGUUGUCUCUAGUUGAA